rnacentral:sRNA from 1 species
GCAGAGCCAUGGCCCUCUUCUUUGUUCUCUGCUGGAUCCAAGGCUGGUCAUGAACUCCUGACCUCAAUGGAUCCUCCUGCCUCAGCUUCCUGAGUAGCUGGGACCACAGGUGCACACCACCAUGCCCAGAUGAAAUUGUGCUCCAAGUGUUUUCCAAGGUUCCGUAUGACCCAUCAUUUGAUGAAACAAGAACAGCAGUCAGAUCCAUUACAAAGAGAGACACACAAAAAAACUAUGUGAAAAUGAGCUUAGCCCCUGGUGUUGUGUUGGAACUUCAGAUGCUUGCAGACACUUCAUGAAUGCUCUGUGACACUCAGAAUAGGCUCUUCCCAACAAAAGAGCUUGAACAAUGCUGCAUUUGCCUCAGGUUCAAAUGAGCGAGAGGAACAUUUGGCUAAAAUAUUUGAUGAAAUUCUACUGCAGGUGUUUCCAAAGUUUCCGUAUGACCCAUCAUUUAACGAAGCAACAGCAGUCAGAUCCAUUACAAAGACAGACAUGAGAAAAGGAACCAGCGUUGCUUGGAAUUCUCCUAAACCAGAAUAUUUCCUUGGCAGUGUGGACAAAAUUCCUGAUAAAGAUCACCUUUCAGAGGAGAAGAAUUUUAAAGAAUCCUGUCUGUUCCACAGGGAUUUAAGAGAGCAGUUAACUACUGUAGAUAAAGAAACA